CAGAAUAAGCAAAGACAAAAAUAAAUGUUCAGCACCAUAAUUGUGGAGUUCUAAGUUUGUCUCAAAGUGAAGUGAAGCUGUUGUUAUUACAAUACUAAAAGCACACUGUAAACCAUUGCCAAAACAUAGAUACAAAUAUGGCCAUGAAGCUAGCUAGCUCAUUAAUUACCUAGAAGCGAGCCUAGAAGCACCUAGUACCUGGAAACACGUCUCACACAGUAGCACUUUCGAUUUAUCCACGUGGCAAGAUAGUUUUGAAAGCAAUGGGCGUGGCCGAAUUUCAAUCAGUAGAUUUGUGAGAAAAAAGCGUGGCUAGUAGUGGAACAGCUGCACCACAGAGUUUCAUAUUUUGCAUGCAGCUAGUAGACAUAGUUAGCUACUACUACUACUACUACUAUUACUAUAGUAGCCUGGAUGUGUUUUCUUUUGGGGUGAUUUUGACGCAGAUUGUUUGCAAGUUGGAGACGAUCAAAUCAGCCAUGGAUCGAUCAAUCCAUGUUGCCCAAAUCCCUCACACACACAGGUUGAGGAAGCUUAUCGACAGAUGUUUGCGAGAAGACAUGACGAGGAGACCAUCUGCCAGGGACAUCUAUACUUCACUAGCAGUGGAGGAAACAAAGAGGGAGUCAAAGGACACUCAACCAGUCAAGAAGGAUCCCCCUCCAAGAGAGUUGAGACCUCCACUCACUCUGAAAUGGAGAAGAGGGAAAGACAUGCCAAUCAAGAUGGGCACCUCGGUACAGAGUGUUGUUAUCGGUGACACGAUGUAUGCUGUUGGACGCAAUAAUCAUAACGGGUGUACAGUGAUAAAGCUCGAGCAAGAUCAAUGAACCAAACUACCAGAGUACACUGCCCAGUGGUUCGCUAUGACAUCAUUCGCUAAUCGACUAGUGCUGGUAGGAGGACGUUAUCAAAGAAACAACAAAGUCAGCAAUCAACUUGCCGUCUUUAAGUCAGGGGAAUGGACUCACCCGUACCCACCAAUGAACAUUGCUCGUAAUUCCUCAACAGCUGUCUCCUUCAACAACCACAUCAUUGUAGCUGGUGGGGUUGAUGGUAAAGGACAAACCUCCUCUGUGGAGGUGUUGGACAUGGCAUCAAGAAGAUGGUACAUUGCUCAGUCACUACCUAACUCGCGAUCAGAACUGAAAUCGACUCUCAUAGGAAACACCCUCUACCUAAUGGGAGGGCACAAUCACACUGGGCCAACCAAGACAGCUAGUGCACCACGUCGACCUCAAUAAACUCAUUGCCAAAGCCCUUUCUAACCUGCACACACCCACUCUCUGGUGCCAGACCUUACGGGAAGUACCACUCAAGUUGUCAGCUCCUCUCAGUAGUGGGAGAUCACUAUUAGUCGUUGGUGGACGGGACGACAGAGGCAACCCAAGUUCAUCGAUCCACCUCUACCAGCCUGACACCAGGAGGUGGGUGACAGUGGGAGACCUGCCUACUGUACGAUACUACUCCACAUGCUCAGUACUUCCUAGUGGAGAGGUCAUUGUAGCCGGAGGACAGACACAACUAUUUGAUUACACUCAAACUGUGGACUUAUUCUCUAUAAGUGCUUAGCCACUAUUCUCUAAUUGUUUCAUUUCUUUUGGUUUCACUUUAAUUGUCAUGAAUUGCGACAAUUAAUAAUCCUGAUGUUUUUUUUAUACAUGUCAUGAGAAAGGCUCUAAUUAUCUUGCACAG